AUAAGAUGAUUAGUGUCAACAGUUUGAUCUAAUUCUGCAUGGUCUGACUGUCUCAAGUGUCUUCAAGCACUAACCUGGCACAUAUUUGAAUACAUCAUUAC